AAUCGAAGAGAACAGUGGCAGUGAUGUAUAUCCUUUAUAAAUAUUUUAUAUCACAGUGGCUGUUCUUUUUGGAU
rnacentral:pre_miRNA from 1 species